rnacentral:tRNA from 1 species
GGGGGCGUAGCUCAGUUGGCAGAGCAACGGCUUUUUAAGCCGUGGGUCGCAGGUCCGAGUCCUGCCGCCCUCA